UGACAGUCUCCAAGACGACUCCGUAACAGUGCUGCCAAUGCAUCAACAUCCACCAUCGCUUCGAGAUCAUGAGAUCACCCAAGUAUAUAUGAAGUCAACUGUCAACAAUCAACACCUUAUUUUUCUCCCAGCCGGGUCAACUCGGUCUCCACUUCUUAUUAAUACCUACGCCUUGGAAAAUCAUUCUGGGGAAGGAUCGAUCGAUGUCCGGGCCUGAUGUCAUGUACAGCUGCAGAUCUUGCCGUUUUCCGCUGAAUCUCUCGUCUUCCACGGGGACCAUGUCCACCGAAGCGUCCAGCAAACACCAGGCCAAAUCUGUGAAGAAGGGCGUGAUCUCCUUCGCGUCCGUUGAUCUCAGCCGAUUCACUCAGGUAGACGAGGUGUCCUGCUUCUCUCUCGCCUGGGGUCGACGCCGAGGACCAAAAUUCAAGCUUCUCUGCCGCAAGUGUGGAGCUCCGGUCGGCUACGGGUAUGGCGAGCCGGCGGCUGUUCUCUGCAGUUCGUCUUCCUCUGCGUCUGAAGAGUAUCUGAUGAAGAUAGAAGCUCUCCAGCCUUCUUCCGAGGGAGCUCCGUAGCGCCCAAUUUUAAGUGAAGCUAGACUAGAUAUAUGCUGUAAUCAAAGAUAGUUAAAAUAUGUAUACCCCCCUCUCAUCCCAACCGUUUGUGCCUGCCAAAGUAAAUCUCAACAUAUGGAUGGAGUAAUCAAAGAUACCAAUUCACAUCUUUUUAAUA